GGCACCGUCACGUGUACCGAGUUGGUGAUGAAGGUGUGUUGAGAAGCAUGCUGGAGGUAUCAGAAGUGCGAAUGCUGACGUGAGUAACGACAAAACGGGUGAAAAACCCGUUCGCCGAAAGACCAAGGGUUCCAGUCCAACGUUAAUCGGGGCUGGGUGAGUCGACCCCUAAGGCGAGGCCGAAAGGCGUAGUCGAUGGGAAAUCGGUUAAUAUUCCGAUACUUGUUUAUAAUGCGAUGGAGGGACGGAGA
rnacentral:rRNA from 1 species